GACAGGCUCUGUGUUCACAGGGGUGGCCGGGCAGCACCUGAGGGGGAACAUGGAAGAGCUGCUGAUGAUCUACAGUGCCCUUGAAGACAGGGCAAAUGACGUCAGCCUUGCCGUUGGAAGCCUGGCAAUUCAAUCAUUGUGCAUCCUCAGGUCUGCAGAGCGGGCUCCAAUCUCCAGGUUCCAGAGGCUGCAAUAUCAGCUGCGCAGGAUGUGGAAGGCUCGGCCGCGUCUGUCGCAUCUCCACAGGCUGAGCUGCUGGAGCUCUGUGGAGAUGUGAUUCCAUAUGUUCUUUUAGUUGGGGCCACCGGACUAAUUAGGAAUUUUGUUUUUUUUCAAGAAUGUUCUACUUUUAGUUUUCUUUUACUGUGUUAAUAUAGAAUGUGUUAUAACA